GGGGGCGAACGGUUUCGACGUUGGAGCGCCGGGUAGAUGAUAGCAGGCCAGGUGGCAACUGUGAUAGCCAAAACAAACAGCUCCCGAAGCUGAACUCGCUCUCGCUGCUUAAUUAACAAGCAGCGCGUCCUUGCUGGUUUAGGCACCUUGGCCAGCUGUGGGCGUCAUAGAAAGGUGCUCUGGUUGGUGGUUGGCUGUCUUGCACCAAACCAGUACUUAAGACAGCCUGAGGUUUGUGGUUUUUCAUAGGUUUUACCGCAAACCCAGUAUCAUAAAACCUAUGUAAGCCUGUAGAAGUCAUCUAUCCCGGUUCUGACGGACGCGGGUUCGAUUCCCGCCGCCUCCACCA
rnacentral:tmRNA from 1 species